GACGAACGCUGGCGGCGUGCCUAAUACAUGCAAGUUGAGCGCUGAAGGUUGGUACUUGUACCGACUGGAUGAGCAGCGAACGGGUGAGUAACGCGUGGGGAAUCUGCCUUUGAGCGGGGGACAACAUUUGGAAACGAAUGCUAAUACCGCAUAAAAACUUUAAACACAAGUUUUAAGUUUGAAAGAUGCAAUUGCAUCACUCAAAGAUGAUCCCGCGUUGUAUUAGCUAGUUGGUGAGGUAAAGGCUCACCAAGGCGAUGAUACAUAGCCGACCUGAGAGGGUGAUCGGCCACAUUGGGACUGAGACACGGCCCAAAAUCCUACGGGAGGCAGCAGUAGGGAAUCUUCGGCAAUGGACGAAAGUCUGACCGAGCAACGCCGCGUGAGUGAAGAAGGUUUUCGGAUCGUAAAACUCUGUUGGUAGAGAAGAACGUUGGUGAGAGUGGAAAGCUCAUCAAGUGACGGUAACUACCCAGAAAGGGACGGCUAACUACGUG
rnacentral:rRNA from 1 species